UUCCAGUCCACGUAUGGUAUU
ensembl:piRNA 21ur-4761 ncRNA